GGAUGUGUAGCUCAGUGGUAGAGCAGUUGACUGUUAAUCAAUUGGCCCAUGGUUCGAAUCCAUGCACGUCCG
rnacentral:tRNA from 1 species